rnacentral:rRNA from 1 species
GAUGAACGCUGGCGGCGUGCCUAAUACAUGCAAGUCGAGCGAACAGAUGAGGAGCUUGCUCCUCUGACGUUAGCGGCGGACGGGGGAGUAACACGUGGAUAACCUACCUAUAAGACUGGGAUAACUUCGGGAAACCGGAGCUAAUACCGGAUAAUAUAUUGAACCGCAUGGUUCAAUAGUGAAAGACGGUUUUGCUGUCACUUAUAGAGGGAUCCGCGCCGCAUUAGCUAGUUGGUAAGGUAACGGCUUACCAAGGCAACGAUGCGUAGCCGACCUGAGAGGGUGAUCGGCCACACUGGAACUGAGACACGGUCCCGACUCCUACGGGAGGCAGCAGUAGGGAAUCUUCCGCAAUGGGCGAAAGCCUGACGGAGCAACGCCGCGUGAGUGAUGAAGGUCUUCGGAUCGUAAAACUCUGUUAUUAGGGAAGAACAAAUGUGUACGUAACUAUGCACGUCUUGACGGUACCUAAUCAGAAAGCCACGGCUAACUACGUG